rnacentral:tRNA from 1 species
UCCUCGGUAGCUCAACGGUGGAGCGUCCCGCUGUUAACGGGAAGGCUGCUGGUUCGAAUCCAGCCCGGGGAG